rnacentral:rRNA from 1 species
GACGAACGCUGGCGGUGUGCUUAACACAUGCAAGUCGAACGGUAAGGCCCUUUCGGGGGUACACGAGUGGCGAACGGGUGAGUAACACGUGAGUAACCUGCCCUCAUCUCUGGGAUAACAGUCGGAAACGGUUGCUAAUACUGGAUAUGAGCUUGCAAGGCAUCUUGUGGGUUGGAAAGAUUUUUUUUGGUUGGGGAUGGACUCGCGGCCUAUCAGCUUGUUGGUGAGGUAGUGGCUCACCAAGGCUUCGACGGGUAGCCGGCCUGAGAGGGCGACCGGCCACAUUGGGACUGAGAUACGGCCCAACCUCCUACGGGCGGCAGCAGUGGGGAAUAUUGCACAAUGGACGGAAGUCUGAUGCAGCAACGCCGCGUGCGGGAUGACGGCCUUCGGGUUGUAAACCGCUUUCAAUUGCGACGAAGCUUUUUUGUGACGGUAGCAGUAGAAGAAGCACCGGCUAACUACGU